rnacentral:lncRNA from 1 species
GCAUGGUGUGAUUUAACCUACUAACCAACUCAGGGCUCAGCCAGGACACUGUGGCAAGUGACAAGAUGCCUGGCCUUCGACUAAUCCACUAACCUGGCCUGAGCAUGCCCUACUAACCCUGCGGCAGCCAAACCCUACUAACU